AGUAGUCAUACCGCGUGUAUUUCU
rnacentral:siRNA from 1 species